rnacentral:rRNA from 1 species
CCUACGGGAGGCAGCAGUGAGGAAUAUUGGUCAAUGGGCGCGAGCCUGAACCAGCCAAGUAGCGUGAAGGAUGACUGCCCUACGGGUUGUAAACUUCUUUUAUAACGGGAUAAAGUCAGGCACGUGUACCUUUUUGUAUGUACUUUAUGAAUAAGGAUCGGCUAACUCCGUGCCAGCAGCCGCGGUAAUACGGAGGAUCCGAGCGUUAUCCGGAUUUAUUGGGUUUAAAGGGUGCGUAGACGGGUUGGUAAGUCAGCUGUGAAAUUUUGCGGCUCAACCGUAAAAUUGCCGUUGAUACUGGUAGGCUUGAGUAUAGUUGAGGUAGGCGGAAUUUGUGGUGUAGCGGUGAAAUGCUUAGAUAUCAUGAAGAACACCGAUUGCGAAGGCAGCUUACCAAACUGUAACUGACAUUGAGGCACGAAAGCGUGGGUAGCAAACAGGAUUAGAUACCCCAGUAGUC